rnacentral:rRNA from 1 species
UACAGAGGGUGCGAGCGUUGUCCGGAAUCACUGGGCGUAAAGGGCGCGUAGGUGGUGGCUUAAGCGUGCGGUGAAAGCUCGGGGCUCAACUCCGAGUCGGCCGUGCGAACUGGGCUCACUGGAGCAUAGUAGAGGCAGGUGGAAUUCCGGGUGUAGCGGUGGAAUGCGUAGAGAUCCGGAAGAACACCGGAGGCGAAGGCGGCUGGCUGGACCUGAUCUGACGCUGAGGUGUGAAAGCGUGGGGAGCGAACAGG